rnacentral:rRNA from 1 species
AUUGAACGCUGGCGGCAGGCCUAACACAUGCAAGUCGAGCGGAUGAGUGGAGCUUGCUCCAUGAUUCAGCGGCGGACGGGUGAGUAAUGCCUAGGAAUCUGCCUAUUAGUGGGGGACAACGUUUCGAAAGGAACGCUAAUACCGCAUACGUCCUACGGGAGAAAGCAGGGGACCUUCGGGCCUUGCGCUAAUAGAUGAGCCUAGGUCGGAUUAGCUAGUUGGUGAGGUAAUGGCUCACCAAGGCGACGAUCCGUAACUGGUCUGAGAGGAUGAGCAGUCACACUGGAACUGAGACACGGUCCAGACUCCUACGGGAGGCAGCAGUGGGGAAUAUUGGACAAUGGGCGAAAGCCUGAUUCAGCCAUGCCGCGUGUGUGAAGAAGGUCUUCGGAUUGUAAGGCACUUUAAGUUGGGAGGAAGUGCAGUAACCUAAUACGUUAUUGUUUUGACGUUACCGACAGAAUAAGCACCGGCUAACUUCGUGCCAGCCGCCGCCGUAAAAC